UGCUUACUUUGAAAAUAGGCAGUGGCCCCG
rnacentral:piRNA from 1 species